AAGACUAUAGACCUGCGGAGUACCUGCGGAAGGAUCAUUAUUGAAUUAUGUUUCUAAAUGGGUUGUAGCUGGCCCGUCAGAGCAUGUGCACGCCUGUUUGGACUUCAUUUUCAUCCACCUGUGCACCUAUUGUAGUCUUUGGUUGGGUAUCAAGGAAGUGGUCAGCCUAUCAGCACUUGCUGGAUGUGAGGACUUGCAGUGUGAAAGCUUUGCUGUCCUUUACUUGAUCAUGGAGUUGUU
rnacentral:misc_RNA from 1 species